rnacentral:rRNA from 1 species
CCCUUAGAUGUCCUGGGCCGCACGCGUGCUACAAUGAUGCAUUCAACGAGUCUUGCCUUAACCGAAAGGUUCGGGUAAACUUUUGAAAUUGCAUCUUGUCGGGGCUUGAUCAUUGUAAUUUUUGAUCACAAACAAGGAAUUCCUUGUAAAUGUGAGUCAUCAACUUGCAUUGAAUACGUCCCUGCCCUUUGUACACACCGCCCGUCGCUACUACCGAUUGAACGGUUUAGUGAGGGCCUCGGAUUGGUCUCGGCCCGCUCUUUACCGGGCGGCGCCGUUGGUCGAGAAGACGCUCGAACUUGAUCGUUUAGAGGAAGUAAAAGUCGUAACA